rnacentral:lncRNA from 1 species
UGCGAUCCAAACACAGCUGCGAGCUGGAAUUGAUGUUGUUGGAGCCACUGCACCCUUCUCACAACACAGGCAGCGUAUUUCCUUACAGAAAUGUGUUGAAAACUGAAUGUCCUUAGAAUCUUCAGUUCACAAAACAAUAUGAAAUGAAGAGAGAAGAAACAUGCUGUUCCAACAUGGCACAGAACCAUGUUUGAACAAGAACAUUUCUUGUAAGGGUUUGUCAGCCAGCUGGAGUGCACAGGACCUGAGGAUCUCGGAAUCUCCUGGAUUUAAAUGCAGAAAUCAAGAGAAAAACAAACAAACCAGCCAACCAACCCAAAUACCCAGCACCACGGGUGUAGCAAAAGUCAACUUAAUUUUUAACAAUUACUGCUGUGGGUUGGGGGAUUUUGUGAACCACAUUUAUUGUGCUUCCUUUAUCCUGUGUGCAAUGUAGGUGGAUGAACACUGGAAUUGUUUCAGCAGUGUCCUCUGGAUUUGCCAGGUGUUACCUGAAAUUCCUCAUCUCCAAACUGGGGUUUUAAGAAUUCCAGCUCCAAAAUGGCACAACCAGCAAGGUCCCUUUGCUGAUGGACAAAGCAGAGGAGAGGGCAGAGAAGGGAAGAGUUAAAAGCAGCUCUUCCUCCAGGUGAGUGAACAAAAAUGAUUCCAUAAUAGCAGCAGCACAGGGAGGCUUCUUAGUUCUCUACUUAAUUCACCGUGCAUCACUUUGGGCUCUGCCAUUGUGAACCACACAUGGUCUUGUUAUGGCCAAAAAAAUGCAGUUACCAGCUGAGAGAUGCACUGCUGUUAAAGGCUGUGGGUUUUGAUCUGUUUGUGCACUACAGCCUGCAAAGUCCAGGAUAAAUGUGCCAGGUUUUUUCAUUUCUCAACAUCCUUGCUUGAGGGAUGAGCACAGGGAUCUUGUGUAGCUGAAUCUGCAGAUUCAUUAAUCUGCAAUGAGUGUGUAGUGAUCAAAUUCUAGCAUUUUUAACAGAUCAAUGUUCAAUCCUAUGAUCAAUAUAUACAUUGAAGGCAGCUCUUUAAAAACCAGCAGUUGAAAUGAAGAAUCAGUAUUUCCAUGGUAAACACACCUGAUUUCUUAUUAUAUAACACAGAGGGGAAAAAAAGAAUCCCCAAAAAUACACAUCUCACUGUUGGAUGAGAUAAGGUUUUUUGCUCAGUUCCACUUGAGAGAUCAUCAGCAGUAUUUUUCUAGCCAGUGGGAAAUUAUGCAGCUUGAUGGUUUUGCUAAGCUGCCAGCUUUUAAAGGCACAGGAUAGAAAUCCCACACCUAAUCAAAACAAGUUUGGAUCCCCCAUUUCUGGUCAUUUUUGUGAGUAUGAUUUGUUCAUCUCUUGGGCCUAGUAAGAGUUGUGCUACUCUCUUGCAUAAAAGGAUCACUUGCCCUUAUACUCUGAGCAAGCAUUUCACUAAAUCACUGAGAAACUGCAGGUUUAUUUUUAUUUUUAAUAAUCUCUAACUUCUAUUUGCUGCACAAUGAUUUGCAUAUACAUAAUGAUCUAUCAUCAAGGAAGAUAAAUUCCUAGACACCAUUUUCUCACACACUUCUACAUUUAUUGAAACUCUUCUACCUCAGCACCAAGCAAACUUGGAUUUUAAUCCAAAGGGGGGAUUAUACUUAUCAGUCAUAUUUUUAUUUGUAAAGAUGAAUAAUUAUGGCCUUUUUCUACUAGGAUAUUUACAAUAGCUGAAUUCAAGGUUGUUUUCCUCUUGUUCAUGAGAUGAGCCUGGGUGGUUCUUUCUGCUGUAAAAUGCAUGUUUAUGGCACUGCAUGCCUGUUAAUUAUUGUCUGUACAGAAAAGUCACUGUUAAAUAUCUGUACUGCCAAUCUGCACCAAGACAUUAGUGUGGUACAAGACAUUCAGCAGAGAUAUUGAUGUCAGCUGAGUUCCUAAUGCAUUUUGGCUGCUGGCCUCUUGCUGUUGUACCUUCAGCCUGGGGCCAUGGCAGUAGCAGAAGCAGCAGUAAGUGACAGGUUGGUGUCCAAAUGUAGUCUCCUAAUGAUUUCUUCUUGAAGAAAAAACCAACAAAGCCCCCAAGAAAGCCUGUGGAAAUAACAAUGGAUAAUUUGAGAUACUGUUUCAUGUUGCUUUCUUAGGACUUUCUUCAUCCACUGCCAAGCAGAGUUGAUACAUUUUCUUUCACAGCGUUACAUUUCAAUCAGGAAGCAUUUCAGCCCUUAUCUUCGGUAUCCUCAUCCCCAUGGUGAGCAAUGUUUCUUCUCACUUUCUUCUGCUGUCUCUGCAGUAGCUGCAAAGCCAAGGCUUGCUGAGUGAAGAGAGUUUCCAGGUCUGCUCUUUGAUCAGAGCCUCUGGAGCAACCCCACUGCUGCCAUCGGAGGUAACUUCCAUGCCAUGAAAUGUGGGCAGUGGAGCACCAAAAAAUUACAAGUAUGCAACCGCUUGUGAUUUGUUUCCUCUUCUCAUUCUAGUUUCCUGUGGCUUGGAAGGAAUGCUUGAAGAGAUGUUAGUGUUUUCCUAACUUGAGAAGUGGCUCAAAGGAUUUUAAAGCUUGAAGGUGCCAGGAUAAUCCUCCUGCUCCAGGCCACAAGAUUUCUGUUCAGUUUUUAGCCACUGGAUCUUGCAUGCAUUUUUCUCUCAGAUACAGACCCAUGAUGAAUGGAAAUCACAUCUGUGCUGGAAUGGUCUCACUGCAAUAUUUGAAUAGGUUUUUUUUUUUCUUCCAACACCUUAUGAAAGGGAGAAGUUGGUACUCUGAGGCUGGAUGUGGUACCCAGUGGUGAUGAUCAUGAACUGGCACACCAAUGCAAUUACCUUCCUAUUUCCAAGGAGUAAAGGAUCAACUCUAGAUUUUUAUAUAGACAAUUAGCUUUUAGAACUGCUCUUUCAUUACUUGGAUUGGAUAAUGCAUGUGUUCUUGGGACAGCUGUAAUAAGGUUUCAAAGAAAAUGGAAUGGGGCAAUGCAAUUAUCACCCCUGAUUACUCCUUUUGUUCUUGUCUUAGCUCUUGCGGGGAGAGAGCUUCUUAUUUAGUGUUUCAUAAAUUACCUCCUGUUGUAGUGGCUUUAAUUUAUUUUAUUAAUCAAAGUGGUGGAGAUAUCAGCAAAAAAUAAUUGCAUUCCUAAAACAACGUAUCAAACAUAGAGGACAGCUAAUAUGAAAUGUAUUGUGAGAGCCAAAGCUGGUACACCCUGAUAGGUAAGGAAAUGCACAGUCAAAAAUGAUAAUUAUGUACUGAAGGAUGCAGAUGAACACCAAGGAGAAAAGCAAGAUGAAGCACCCAUUUGGUUUAUAGAUAUGUACACAUAAUGACUUUGCAUUUUAUACAUGGUGCUCUUGGCAGACUCUUCAGUGCCUGCAGCAUUUGAUUCAAGCUUUCAGCAACUGCACUCUCAGAUAUCAAGAGUUUUACAGAUGCUGCCAAAAAAUUGGGAAAUGGAAAUGCUGUGGUCAUGGCUGGCCAGUGAGAAAAGGUACCAGAACACAACCAAGACUUUUCAAGCUACUGCCAGAAUCAGCUGCAUCAAGAGCAGGAUUUUCUAAGCCUGUUCAAUGAUUCUUAGCCAACUGGUCACUCCCCAUCUUUGCUUUCACUAAAAUGGGUCCCCGGAGGCAACACACAGUCCUUUCAGUCACAAAUGUUUUCUCCAGGAAAAAUAUUUUCAUUCUUUAAAAACCCCAAUGGACUUUACUUACAAUUUACAGAAAUAUUUUAAUAUAAAACUUUUAUAAUUAUUGGUUUCAAAAUGCUAUCCCCUGUGUGGCUUGUUGUAAACACUAAUAUUUAUUUCUAGAGACUUACUUGUCUUAUUUCUCUCCAGAUGAGUGAAGCUAGCAAGAGCUCAUAAACCACAGGAAAGUAGACUUAAAGAACAUUUAAUAAUAUAAAUUACCUUCUUCAAGAAUAAUCAGUGAAGAAAACAUAUUCUUGUUAGAAGCUUGCAAAGAUACUGAACAGUUCUGAAUGAAUUGGCAGCCAAUUAUGAGGUUGGCUGUACAAUAAAAGAAAAUAAACAGAAUAGAAAGAAAACUUA